UACGUAGGGGGCAAGCGUUUGUCCGGAUUUAUUGGGGUUUAAAGGGUGCGUAGGCGGCCUUUUAAGUCAGUGCUGAAAUACUCUAGCUUAACUAGAGGGGUGGCAUUGAUACUGAAAGGCUUGAGUGAAGUCGAAGUAGGCGGAAUUGACGGUGUAGCGGUGAAAUGCUUAGAUAUCGUCAAGAACACCGAUAGUGAAGACAGCUUACUAGACUUCAACUGACGCUGAGGCACGAAAAGUGUGGGGAUCAAAACAGGG
rnacentral:rRNA from 1 species